GACGAACGCUGGCGGCGUGCUAAACACAUGCAAGUCGAACGGUAAGGCCCUUCGGGGUACACGAGUGGCGAACGGGUGAGUAACACGUGGGUGAUCUGCCCUGCACUUCGGGAUAAGCCUGGGAAACUGGGUCUAAUACCGGAUGGGACUCCUGGCUUCAUGGUUGGGGGUGGAAAGCUUUUGCGGUGUGGGAUGGGCCCGCGGCCUAUCAGCUUGUUGGUGGGGUAAUGGCCUACCAAGGCGACGACGGGUAGCCGGCCUGAGAGGGUGACCGGUCACACUGGGACUGAGAUACGGCCCAGACGCCUACGGGAGGCAGCAGUGGGGAAUAUUGCACAAUGGGCGCAAGCCUGAUGCAGCGACGCCGCGUGAGGGAUGACGGCCUUCGGGUUGUAAACCUCUUUCAGCUAUGACGAAGCGCAAGUGACGGUAGUAGCAGAAGAAGGACCGGCCAACUACGUGCCAGCCGCCGCCGUAA
rnacentral:rRNA from 1 species